rnacentral:rRNA from 1 species
AGUCGAACGAUGAACCACUUCGGUGGGGAUUAGUGGCGAACGGGUGAGUAACACGUGGGCAAUCUGCCCUGCACUCUGGGACAAGCCCUGGAAACGGGGUCUAAUACCGGAUACUGAUUGUCUUGGGCAUCCUUGAUGAUCGAAAGCUCCGGCGGUGCAGGAUGAGCCCGCGGCCUAUCAGCUUGUUGGUGAGGUAACGGCUCACCAAGGCGACGACGGGUAGCCGGCCUGAGAGGGCGACCGGCCACACUGGGACUGAGACACGGCCCAGACUCCUACGGGAGGCAGCAGUGGGGAAUAUUGCACAAUGGGCGAAAGCCUGAUGCAGCGACGCCGCGUGAGGGAUGACGGCCUUCGGGUUGUAAACCUCUUUCAGCAGGGAAGAAGCGAAAGUGACGGUACCUGCAGAAGAAGCGCCGGCUAACUACGUGCCAGCAGCCGCGGUAAUACGUAGGGCGCAAGCGUUGUCCGGAAUUAUUGGGCGUAAAGAGCUCGUAGGCGGCUUGUCGCGUCGGUUGUGAAAGCCCGGGGCUUAACCCCGGGUCUGCAGUCGAUACGGGCAGGCUAGAGUUCGGUAGGGGAGAUCGGAAUUCCUGGUGUAGCGGUGAAAUGCGCAGAUAUC